AUUGAACGCUGGCGGCAUGCCUUACACAUGCAAGUCGAACGGUAACAGGUCUUCGGAUGCUGACGAGUGGCGAACGGGUGAGUAAUACAUCGGAACGUGCCCGAUCGUGGGGGAUAACGGAGCGAAAGCUUUGCUAAUACCGCAUACGAUCUACGGAUGAAAGCAGGGGACCGCAAGGCCUUGCGCGGACGGAGCGGCCGAUGGCAGAUUAGGUAGUUGGUGGGAUAAAAGCUUACCAAGCCGACGAUCUGUAGCUGGUCUGAGAGGACGACCAGCCACACUGGGACUGAGACACGGCCCAGACUCCUACGGGAGGCAGCAGUGGGGAAUUUUGGACAAUGGGCGAAAGCCUGAUCCAGCCAUGCCGCGUGCAGGAUGAGGGCCUUCGGGUUGUAAACUGCUUUUGUACGGGACGAAAAGACUCUUUCUAAUAAAGAGGGUCCAUGACGGUACCGUAAGAAUAAGCACCGGCUAACUACGUG
rnacentral:rRNA from 1 species